UACAGAGGUCUCAAGCGUUGUUCGGAUUCAUUGGGCGUAAAGGGUGCGUAGGCGGCGCGGUAAGUCGGAUGUGAAAUCUCGGAGCUUAACUUCGAAACUGCAUUCGAUACUGCCGUGCUUGAGGACUGGAGAGGAGACUGGAAUUUACGGUGUAGCGGUGAAAUGCGUAGAUAUCGUAAGGAAGACCAGUGGCGAAGGCGGGUCUCUGGACAGUUCCUGACGCUGAGGCACGAAGGUCAGGGGGAGCAAACGGGG
rnacentral:rRNA from 1 species